rnacentral:rRNA from 1 species
ACCGGAGGAAGGUGGGGACGACGUCAAGUCAUCAUGGCCCUUACGAGUAGGGCUACACACGUGCUACAAUGGCGCAUACAGAGGGCGGCCAACUUGCGAAAGUGAGCGAAUCCCAAAAAGUGCGUCGUAGUCCGGAUUGGAGUCUGCAACUCGACUCCAUGAAGUCGGAAUCGCUAGUAAUCGUGGAUCAGAAUGCCACGGUGAAUACGUUCCCGGGCCUUGUACACACCGCCCGUCACACCAUGGGAGUGGGCUGCAAAAGAAGUGGGUAGUUUAACCUUCGGGAGGACGCUCACCACUUUGUGGUUCAUGACUGGGGUGAAGUCGUAACAAGGUAGCGCUAGGGGAACCUGGCGC